rnacentral:rRNA from 1 species
GACGAACGCUGGCGGCGUGCUUAACACAUGCAAGUCGAACGGAAAGGCCCUUCGGGGUACUCGAGUGGCGAACGGGUGAGUAACACGUGGGUGAUCUGCCCUGCACUUUGGGAUAAGCCUGGGAAACUGGGUCUAAUACCGGAUAGGACUACGGCCUGCAUGGGUUGUGGUGGAAAGCUUUUGCGGUGUGGGAUGGGCCCGCGGCCUAUCAGCUUGUUGGUGGGGUGAUGGCCUACCAAGGCGACGACGGGUAGCCGGCCUGAGAGGGUGACCGGCCACACUGGGACUGAGAUACGGCCCAGACUCCUACGGGAGGCAGCAGUGGGGAAUAUUGCACAAUGGGCGCAAGCCUGAUGCAGCGACGCCGCGUGGGGGAUGACGGCCUCGGUUGUAACUCUUCAGUAGGACGAAGCGUAAGU